GACGAACGCUGGCGGCGUGCUUAACACAUGCAAGUCGAACGGAAAGGCCCCUUUGGGGGUACUCGAGUGGCGAACGGGUGAGUAACACGUGAGUAACCUGCCCUUGACUUCGGGAUAACUUCAGGAAACUGGGGCUAAUACCGGAUAGGAAUCCUUGCUGCAUGGUGGGGGUUGGAAAGCUUCGGCGGUUUUGGAUGGACUCGCGGCUUAUCAGCUUGUUGGUGGGGUAGUGGCUUACCAAGGCUUUGACGGGUAGCCGGCCUGAGAGGGCGACCGGCCACAUUGGGACUGAGAUACGGACCAGACUCCUACGGGAGGCAGCAGUGGGGAAUAUUGCACAAUGGGCGGAAGCCUGAUGCAGCAACGCCGCGGGCGGGAUGACGGCCUUCGGGUUGGAAACCGCUUUCAGCAGGGGCGAAGCUUGUGGUGACGGUACCUGCAGAAGAAGCACCGGCUAACUACGUG
rnacentral:rRNA from 1 species